CCUACGGGAGGCAGCAGUGGGGAUAUUGGACAAUGGGCGCAAGCCUGAUCCAGCCAUACCGCGUGGGUGAAGAAGGCCUUCGGGUUGUAAAGCCCUUUUGUUGGGAAAGAAAAGCAGUCGGUUAAUACCCGAUUGUUCUGACGGUACCCAAAGAAUAAGCACCGGCUAACUUCGUGCCAGCAGCCGCGGUAAUACGAAGGGUGCAAGCGUUACUCGGAAUUACUGGGCGUAAAGCGUGCGUAGGUGGUUGUUUAAGUCUGUCGUGAAAGCCCUGGGCUCAACCUGGGAAUUGCGAUGGAAACUGGGCGACUAGAGUGUGGCAGAGGGUAGUGGAAUUCCUGGUGUAGCAGUGAAAUGCGUAGAGAUCAGGAGGAACAUCCGUGGCGAAGGCGACUGCCUGGGCCAACACUGACACUGAGGCACGAAAGCGUGGGGAGCAAACAGGAUUAGAUACCCUGGUAGUCCACGCCCUAAACGAUGCGAACUGGAUGUUGGGUGCAAUUUGGCACGCAGUAUCGAAGCUAACGCGUUAAGUUCGCCGCCUGGGGAGUACGGUCGCAAGACUGAAACUCAAAUGAAUUGACGGAAUCACUAGUG
rnacentral:rRNA from 1 species